UCUGAAAAUUUUGCAAUGCAUUUUGUGAAAACUUUCAGCAUACUAGAGGAUGACAACAUCCUUAUUGUGGCAAAGAACAUCUACAAAAAUCCUGUAACUAACAUCAUACUUAAUGACAAAAUACUGAAUGCUUCCCUGUAAUAUUAGAGACUAGAUGAAAGCUAUGCCAGUGCCUCUCUUACCAAGGAUGUUUAUCAGCUUCCACAGCCAAAUACCCCACCUGCCCACAAUAGAGACCAAAACUAAAACCUUUAAAUGGCAGGAAUGGCCUUAGUUAUCAUUGCUUCCAACAACCCAUUUGGGGAAUUUGUGCUUCCCAUUUCUGAAACUCUGGGCUCUGCAGAAUUAGAAGACUUUGUCCCUAAGGGAAACAUUUCCACCAGGGUACAUAGCAAGAUUCCCAACUAUACUUUAAGCUAAGGUAGUAACCUCGAUUGUUUGGGUUUCACGUGACCAUGGUGCAGCAGAGAAGAAGAGGAGACACCAGCUUGACAGCAGAAAUUGACCCUGAUCAUCAGGAGAAAGUAGGGCUGCUAUUACACCCUGGGAGCCAGGGAAAAUGUGUUUGGCAGCCUGUUGACCCAAUUGGUUACCUCCUGGUACAUACUUGCCCAUUUACUUUAGUAACGAUAUAAGCAACAAUCUCAGAUUGAGAAGGGCAUGAUGACCAGGGCUCAGACCUCUUACGAGUGAAGAUCUGGAUUAACCACCAGGUAAACCACUGAAUCUAGCAGACGUGCUGGUGGAGGGUGAGAAGAAAUCUAGAGUGGAUAGUAGAGAAGGGAGACAAUGAUUAUGUGCUCUAACCCUAAAACCAGUUUCAGUGGUAGGGAAUAUAGGUCAUCCCAUUAAACUUUCUCUUCUAAAUUUCCCCCAGGAAUAGAGACCCAUCACAACUAUGAAGAAGCUGCUCCCAGAAUACAUAGGAAGAAGGAGAUCUGAGUGGCACAGGAGGUGGACUGCAGUGACAUGGAGAUGCACCACUCAGAUUCCCCUUCAAAGGAGGACUUGUUUCUGGCAGAGCUGCUGGGCAUGCCAGGAGUGCCGUCACUGUAACAGCCACCCUUCAGCUGUUACACCCUUUGCAGGGCAGGCCACAUCCAAAGAUUGAUCAAGAGAAGCAGUGAUUCAGUAUGCUGCUGUAGUUCUCUAACAAACCAGUACUCUGAGGAGAACAUCUCUCUGCUUAUUGUUGGACAUCACGGGCUAUAAGAUCUGCCGCCAUUCGCCUGGGUAACUGCACUUGGGAUAAUGAGAUAUCCAGACUUUUUCAAGGAAGGUGAAGGAAGUUCCUGAGCUACCCUCUGAUAUGACGUGACCAAAAACACUAUAACAGUCCUCUUGUUAGAGUGAGGGCUUAUAAAGAUCAGGAGACGAAUGGAAUUCCGGCCCAAGUCCAUCACAGAGUGGGUCCAAAGCAUCCACAGGCCUACCUCAUGAUUAUUUCUCAGGUCUCUGGGUGUGUAAUUGGGGUAGAUACACUUAUCAGCUGGGAGAACCCAGAGUAGAAAGUGUUAAUAAGCAGGCCUAAUAGUGUGUCUUUAGAAAGCCCUGCUUGCAAGAUUGGCCCUUGGCUGUUAUCUGGGAACGUGGACUGGGGAGUGUUCCCAUGGUCCCUUACUGCUGGCUUUCUUGGAAUUCUGAAUUCACAGAUCCCAAUUGCCUCCUGCAUGUUCCAAGCAGAACAUUUGCAGCUGUUGUACACUCCUGUGAGGUGGAUAAAUUGAUAUCAUGGGCAAGAAAAACUCUUUUUGGUGCUGACUGCCUCAGGAAGCCCCUCUGAAACCAAGGACAGAACUGAAUUAUUUGGAUCGAACUGAAAAUCCUGCAGCAGGAGGCCCCAUACUUGGAGGCCAACUAGGAGUCGUCAGCUAGCACUGCCCAACCAACGUAUGUUCUGCUUGGUGUCCCCUACCAGUUGUAAACUCUUUUGCUUCCAGGGGUACCACAUGUGCCCGCUGGACUAUAUUUCUUCCAUGUGUACCCUGACUAUCACAACACUGCCUCACCCAACACAGCAUAUGGGUCAGCUUCAACUUACUAGCCAGAGCUGUGCUGUGCCUCAGUUGAUGCUUUAGGCCAAUGUGGAUAAAAUGAGAGUUCCUGUGGCCAGUAUUCUCACCUGACCCUGGUUGACUAGCUCACUGCACACCUGUGGGCAAUACAUGGCUGUUGACUCUAUAUAAAGAGCU